rnacentral:rRNA from 1 species
AUUGAACGCUGGCGGCAUGCCUAACACAUGCAAGUCGAACGGCAGCACGGCAGUAGCAAUACUGUGGGUGGCGAGUGGCGGACGGGUGAGGAAUACGUCGGAAUCUGCCCAGUCGUGGGGGAUAACUAGCCGAAAGGUUAGCUAAUACCGCAUACGACCGAGAGGUGAAAGCGGGGGACCGCAAGGCCUCGCGCGAUUGGAUGAGCCGACGUCGGAUUAGCUAGUUGGUGGGGUAAAGGCCACCAAGGCGACGAUCCGUAGCUGGUCUGAGAGGAUGAUCAGCCACACUGGAACUGAGACACGGUCCAGACUCCUACGGGAGGCAGCAGUGGGGAAUAUUGGACAAUGGGCGCAAGCCUGAUCCAGCAAUGCCGCGUGUGUGAAGAAGGCCUCGGUUGUAAG